UCUUUUCCUUUUUUGCCCGCCGCCGCGGUAAUACGUAUGGAGCAAGCGUUAUCCGGAUUUACUGGGUGUAAAGGGUGCGUAGGUGGCAGUGCAAGUCAGAUGUGAAAGGCCGGGGCUCAACCCCGGAGCUGCAUUUGAAACUGCUCGGCUAGAGUACAGGAGAGGCAGGCGGAAUUCCUAGUGUAGCGGUGAAAUGCGUAGAUAUUAGGAGGAACACCAGUGGCGAAGGCGGCCUGCUGGACUGUUACUGACACUGAGGCACGAAAGCGUGGGGAGCAAACAGG
rnacentral:rRNA from 1 species